CUCCCAUUCUUCCCCAGCUUACCACAGCAGCCGUGCAGGGUUUCACCCUCACCAUAGAAAGGUCCCCCUCAGACCAGAGUAUUUAUUCCCAGGACUUCCCCACCCCAGGGCUGCUCAUUCAUCUCCCGCAGACAGAGCGGAGCCUGUCACAAGAGCAGAUGCAGAGCGGGCAGAGCUCCCCAUGAGAUCCUUCACCACCAGAGAUGAUAAACAGAUGGGGAAAUCUGCUGGGAAAUGCACUGACGUAAGAAGUAGGUGAGAGGCUGGAGCACUGUCCCCGGGGAGGUGGAAACAUGCUGAGAAAGCUGGAUGCAGAGACCAGCGCACAAUGGCUCUUUGAUUCUCCCAGACAGAGAGCUGCUAAUGGACCAUUUCCUCUCCCAGCCCUCCCUGCAGAUACAACUGCUUAUGCCAUCAGCUAGCCAUGAUACAGAAAGAGCCACAUUGAGAGCAUCUCACCCUCUACUCUAAGACUGGACUGUGUCCUACAGGAGACAUUGGCUUUGUGAUGCUGAUCCAUAGUGAGUAGCUGUAGACAGAAAACAAAGCUCAGAUACUCUCAUUAGCUGCCCCACAGCAUGGGUGAAGAAGGAGCCAGAGAAUGGAGUAGGGGCAUGGGGAGCCCAAGAUUUUCCUGCUCCUUCUGCAUCAUUUCUCCAUCUCAGGAGGUCUGCAGUGUCAGCCAAAGCUGAUUGUGUCGGGAUGAGAAAACAGCCAUUCUUCUCUGUGGUGAAUUCAAGGAUAGGCUGCAUGUUGGUAGUGGAUGGGGACUCACGUGCAUGGGAGUACAGAAGAAUGAGAUUACUACGUCGCAUUCAUUAUCAUGCCUAAUGGAAGUUACAACACUUAUCACACGUAGCUAUGACAUCCUACUACGGCUUUCUUCAAGGACGUUCAAGAGCAAAACUGCAGAGCUUCCUUCAGUUAAAGACAUUUGGUGUCUGCUGCCUUUGGUAGAGGUGAAAUUCGACCUUGUGCAUAUUUUAUGUGCCUUGUAAUAAUACCCACUCAUUCACUGAAGAAGAGGCAUUCUAUUGCCCUCCUAUGACACUUCUUUGGGACUGCAGCUGGAAGAUGUAUCACUCAGGCUUCCCUUUGUUUCCUCACUAGAACUAGAUGCUUGUGACAGAUGCUGGAUUGAUAGCCCCACAGAAACAGAUACUCUAGGCCACCAGCUUGCACAAGUGGUGACAGUUCAAGCGUCUGGCUUCUGUAUGGCACCUCUCACUUUGCUGCUAGACGAUGCAAGUUAAUCAGCAGCUGUCAGAUAGAACUGUUUAAGCACUUCUGGGCUGGUGUGGUAACUCACCUGGUUC